AUUGAACGCUGGCGGCAGGCCUAACACAUGCAAGUCGGACGGUAGCACAGAGGAGCUUGCUCCUUGGGUGACGAGUGGCGGACGGGUGAGUAAUGUCUGGGGAUCUGCCCGAUAGAGGGGGAUAACCACUGGAAACGGUGGCUAAUACCGCAUAACGUCGCAAGACCAAAGAGGGGGACCUUCGGGCCUCUCACUAUCGGAUGAACCCAGAUGGGAUUAGCUAGUAGGCGGGGUAAUGGCCCACCUAGGCGACGAUCCCUAGCUGGUCUGAGAGGGUGACCAGCCACACUGGAACUGAAACACGGUCCAGAAUCCUACGGGAGGCAGCAGUGGGGAAUAUUGCACAAUGGGCGCAAGCCUGAUGCAGCCAUGCCGCGUGUAUGAAGAAGGCCUUCGGGUUGUAAAGUACUUUCAGCGGGGAGGAAGGCGAUGCGGUUAAUAACCGCAUCGAUUGACGUUACCCGCAGAAGAAGCACCGGCUAACUCCGUGCCAGCAGCCGCCGUAA
rnacentral:rRNA from 1 species